rnacentral:tRNA from 1 species
GGGGAGUGGCGCAGUCCGGUAGCGCGCCUGCUUUGGGAGCAGGAUGUCGCAGGUUCGAAUCCUGUCUCCCCGAC